rnacentral:rRNA from 11 species
GGUUGCGGCCAUACCUAGUAGAAAGCACCAUUUCCCGUCCGAUCAAUUGCAGUUAAGCUACUAAGGGUCUGAUUGAGUAGUGUAGUGGGAGACCAUACGCGAAAUUCAGAUGCUGCAAUCU